GGAAGUAUUUCCGUCGUAACAAGGUUUCCGUAGGUGAACCUGCGGAAGGAUCAUUA
rnacentral:rRNA from 1 species